UGGGGAAUAUUGGACAAUGGGCGAAAGCCUGAUCCAGCCAUGCCGCAUGAGUGAAGAAGGCCUUUGGGUUGUAAAGCUCUUUUAGUGAGGAAGAUAAUGACGGUACUCACAGAAGAAGUCCUGGCUAACUCCAUGCCAGCAGCCGCAGUAAUACGGAGAGGGCUAGCGUUAUUCGGAAUUAUUGGGCGUAAAGGGCGCGUAGGCUGGUUAAUAAGUUAAAAGUGAAAUCCCGAGGCUUAACCUUGGAAUUGCUUUUAAAACUAUUAAUCUAGAGAUUGAAAGAGGAUAGAGGAAUUCCUGAUGUAGAGGUAAAAUUCGUAAAUAUUAGGAGGAACACCAGUGGCGAAGGCGUCUAUCUGGUUCAAAUCUGACGCUGAAGCGCGAAGGCGUGGGGAGCAAACA
rnacentral:rRNA from 1 species